AAACCUAACACGUUUUGUGUUUAUAGCCUCUGUGUAGUUGUGCUCAAAACUUGUGAAACAAAUUAACACGUUUUUAUCAUGUCAUUUAACAUUCGUUAAUUUGUUCAUAGAUGACUCGAUUUAAUAUUACUUACUGAACGAUUUCCUCCUUUCCUAAGUUUUGGAGUUAGAAAAGAUAUCUUUUUCGUGUGAUCACGACAUUGUAUUCAACUCAAGGAAUUCCAAACCUGUUACUUUAAGGUCUUAUUUUAUGAUAAAGAACGUUACGCAUCCAGAACGCUCAACUUCCGAUAAUUUGGAGAAAUAUGGCACCGGUCCCGAUGAAAUAAAAGAAGGAUUUUAGAAGAUAUUCUAAACUUUAUGGAUUGUUAUUUCUAUAACGAAAGAUUUAUGUAUUUUUUAUUGUUCUGCACUUCUACGUCAGAGAACAUCUCUAGUUGGUCGUCAUCGUUCCUGCACAGCUUUCACUUCGAGGACUUUAUUCACUGAUCAUUGUAUUAUCAUAUUUCUAAUGACAGUUAUACUUUUGUAAUUAACUAUCAUGAUGUUAAUUUAUUAGAUGUGUUUUGGAACAUAAAUAUUUUUCGCUUUGUUAGAUAAUAAUCGAUAUUAUACUUACAUUUGACUAUUUUAUUAAUGACUCGUCAUAACAUAUCACAAAUCUAAUAAAUAUACCAAAUUAUUCUAACAAACAGAUAUUAAUUUCUAACAGGUAAUUAAAUUAUGAUAUAAAAAAAAACAGUUUCUAUUGCUUCAUUACUAACUGAUCAAGUUAAUACACUGUGAAUCAACCAACCAGAAUGACCAAUUGAAUUCCACAUGAUUGUUGUUUGGAAUAUCAAUAGAUAUGAUAUUCCAAAUAAUGACCAUGUGGAAUUAGUCAUCAUUAAAUUGUAGUAACAUAUCACUUCUUCUUCAACCAUUUUAUUCCCUUAUCUAAGCAAUAGCCUCCCUUUGAACGUCCUUCCAUUGAUCCAUAUCUCAUGUCGCUCUAAAAUGUUGUACUAGUUGAUCCCUCCAUCUCUGUCUUGGCCUUCCUCUUUUUCUUUUCCUGUCAUUUGGCUGAGAUAUUGUCGCCUUCCGUCUCCAUAUACUUUCCUCUUGUCUAGCUAUGUGUCCUGCCCAUCUCCAACAUUCUACAUUUUUUAAAACUGUCUCUACAACAUCUCCAACUCCAGUUCUCUCUUCCAUUUAGCUGUUUCUUUAUAGAUAGAGUUUUAUAGUUCCUGGUAUAUUUCUUUCCACAGCUUUUUGAAGUAUUUGUAAUAUUUACUUCAUUUCCCCAUUCAGUCUCAAGGUUUCACUUCCGCAAGUCAGUAGUUAAACAAUUUCCUUCCUAGAAUUAUUUAAAUUUUCAUUUCACGUAGAACAUAACCCAAUUUGCUAAAUUCUGUCCAGUUGACUCUUAUUGCCCUUUGGAUUUCUUCUUCCUAGCUUCCGUUCAAAAUAAUUUCUUGAGGUAUUUUUACAUACCAACUUCCUCGAUCUGUUUUUCCUUGUACAAUAUUGUUUCUUUUUUUGCAACAUUCAUUAAACAUCACUUUUGUUUUGACAUGUUCAUUGUCAAUCGAAACCAACUACUUUCUGUUUUUUCGCUCUUUGGCAGCAAGUUAUCAUUACUAUAUCAUUAGCAUAUCUAAGGCUAUGUAAUUUACCCCAUUUAAACCAAGACUUCUUUUAUCCCAGUAUAAUUUAUAAAAUACUUUUAUAUUGCCACAUGAAAUAGGUUAGGAAAUACAGUAUCUCCCUGUGUGAUUCCUCGCCUGAAUAUUUAUAAAUACUGUCUCUUUCGUCAUAAUUUAUAAUGAUCUUAGUUUGAACAUCAUCAUAAAUUAACAUACCACAGGUCCAAUAAAUAUAUUAGACUGUUUUAACAAUCAGAUCUUCGUUAUGAAAAAGUAAUUAAAUUAUAGUAUUUAAUAACAAUCAUUAGGUGGUUGUCGUUAGAAAGAUCAGUUCUCAUUAAUAUUAUAAGUAAUAUUAAAAUUUUGAAUAUGUAGUUGAGAAUUGUUAAGCAUAUCACAUUUCAUAUAAGCCCAGUGUUUUAUAUAAUGUAUGAGUAUUAGAAUAUUUGCAUUGUUUGGUAUUGGCUUUUGAGUGUAAAUUUCCAAUAAAGCAAUGGUUUGAAUAUUACAUAAAAUUAAUGAAGACGCGAACAAAACUAGUAUAAAAACAUUUGGUUGCCAUUUCAACUUCAUAUUAAACAGGAUGCUCGUGACUGUGUCAUUUGUGCAUUGUUUCAUGCACUCCAUUGUGCAUAUGAAAUGAAAACAUUUAGUUGAUAAAAUACUUUAACAUUAAAAAACGUUGAAACAAAAUCUAUUGGAAAGAAACGUGAAAUCAUAAAUUAUUCUCUUUAUACUGUGACUCUUUAGUAACUGGUAACUUAUACUUACAACAAUUUACUAAGUCAGUCAGAGUAACUUUCCGCCUUAUUUAAUUGUAGUAUUGACGCCUAUUGUAACUGAUUCGCUCAUAAUGGUGAACAUUGACUAUUAUAGAACUAUUUAAACUACGAUUACUUUGAUUCAUCCUGAAUUUCACCAUCAACAUAUAUUGAAGCCGAAAGGAUAUUUAACGAUUUUUCUUUCGCGCCUGAAACUUGACAAAGAUUAUAGUUUGCCACUCCAAUUUAGAAUACAAGAAACCACAAUAUUUAGACGUUAGAAAAUCGUGCAGCAUUUUUUAGACCUCGUCUAACUUGUCUGUCCGUAAAUGAUGCCAUAUCACGCAUACAUAUCAUUUGUAUAAAUCUGUGCAUUUUCAGCAAAUAUCUAAAAUAUUACACUCUUAAUAAACCUUGUCAUAUAUUCUUAUUUAACUUUUCUGUAUCGAGGUUACGUUCUUUGUAUCACACUUUAUAUUGUAAAUAUCAAAGAACAACAAACGUUCUAUCAUGAGAAGAAAUUUUAAACAGUACGUGCUACUGUUGUAUCAUCAUCAUCAUCAUCAUAGACAGCAAUACAUCGAUAAUUCUACCGAUGCUUAGCUGCCACACAAUCAUGAAUUAUUAUUGCUGUUGUAUGAUAAGUUCCAUAGGAGGAAUUUGAAUUAAAAGAAGUAAUUUCAUGCUUUGCACACUUAACUUUAUGAAGUCCUGUAUAAUUAUCAUGACCUAUUUAUUAAAGUGCAAAUACGAACAUCCUUUCUCACCGUUUUCAGUAAAAAGUUCUAUCAGAUUUAUAUGUAUCUACAUACAUAUAGUAUAAAAAAUAAUAAUACAUCUUCUUUGUUAUUUGCAUUUAAAUAGGAAAUUAAAAAAAAAUAAACGAACCAGCAUAAUUUUGCACAAAGUUAUUGGAAAAAUUAUCUUUCAAUAUAGAAGUUAUUGAUUUUAUCGGAAAUAUUUCUUACAUAACAUAAUAGUACAUUUGAAAUAAAUAUAUGAACGAGAUUUAUGAUGUUUCAAUACAUAAUCUUUAAUGAAAGAAAAUUGUUAUAUUAAAUCUAGCUAUCUUCUGAGGAAAACCUAGAUGUAUACUUAAUUGUAAAGGAAUAUCAUAGUACAAUAAUGUUUCAAGUAAAUAUUGAUAUGUAUUUUUUCCUGGUUUUUAUAUACGUGUAUAUGUGAAUUAAUCUAACUGCGUUUCAUUGUUUUAAACUAAUUAUAGGUGUUGAGUAAAAUAGUUCUAACGAUACAAUCUCUACUGGAGCUUGAAAGUGAUAAAAUAUUAUUUAUUCAAUCCUUUUUUACAAAUAAAGUUACAAAUUGCUCAAAUAUUACUGGAUAAAAGUAUCAAAAGUCUUUUUUAGUACUUAAACGAAAAUAGAAUCAACAUAUCAUUUUGAUUGUGUUUUAUACGUUACAAAACAAACUAUUUAAAGCAAAAAAGGGUAAGGUUCUUGAAUUAUAAAUAUAGGAUAACGUCAUGGUAUAUUUCCAGUGUAAACAGUAUCAUAAUAUAUCACCUUCUAGUUAUUAAACCUCAAAUAAUUUAUCUUAUUUACCUUUUUAACCACCUUCGCCAAUUUGUGUCAACAUUUAAUUUGUUUUCAUUAAAUUUAAUUGUUUUUAUUUUUUAGCCCGUAUUGCGAUAGUGUUUUAAGAAAACCGAUUAAAUGUUAUUAGGAUGAGUCAUGUAAUACAUUCACUUUACAAAAACGUAUGAAGGGUAGGAGAAAAUGCUAAAUUUAUGUUGUGUUAUAAUUUUAGCUAAUGGUUGCGUAUGGAAAGAUAUCAAAUGAAUUUUGGCGUUUUGCGAAGAAACAGUUAAAUAUACAUAAAAGUAUUAAGUUAAAAAGUAUGUCAAUUUGUUAUUUAAACUUUCGCUUUAGCUUGAUUUGUGUGACUUUUCUGAAGGGUAAGUGCAAUGCUGCUUGUUGAAAUUCUUGUGUAAGAAGUUAAAUGAAUUUACCUGACGUAGCUAAACAAUUAAUCAAAAAAAUGCUCAAUUUAAUUUGUAGCAACCCUGGAAACCAUACACUAGACUUACACUUCGAAACAGCCAGAUUUAAUAAAUUUCAUAUUAAUUUCAGUGCGUUAGACUUCUACUUACUAAUACAUCCUGACUCGAAUUAAGGUACACGUGAUCGUUCAUUAGAUUUAUACGAUGCUUUACAUAUACAUUAUCAUAUAGUACUCUACAUGGUUUCUACACAUGUUCUGCUAUAUUUGAAGAGCUUCGUUUACACCCAAGAAUCAUGUUAUGGCUACUAAGUUUGUGAUUUAGGAAGCAUUCUUCUUUUUAUAAUACAUUGUGUGUUUUUGACUUACCUUCAGUAUAUUUAUGGGGAACAUGAAGUAUUUUGUGUUUUUGAUUUACUUUCAGUCUAUUUGUGCUAGAAAUGCUGUAUUUUGUUUUUGACUUAUCUUCAUUCUAGUUGUUCUAGAGACGCAGUAUUUUGCGUUUUUGACUUGCCUUCAGUCUAUGUAUGGUAAAGAUGCAUAUUUUGUGUUUAUGACUUACCUUCAGUUUAUUUAUAUUAGACAUGCAGUAUUGCGUGUUUUCGACUUACCCUUAGAAUAUUAGCAGUAUUUCUUGUUUUAACUUAUUUUUAUUCUAUUUAUUGUAGGCAUGAAGUAUUUUGUGUUCUUGACUUACUUCAGUCUAUUUAUGGUGGACAUGCAGUAUUUUGUAUUUUUGACUUACCUUCAAGUUACUUAUGCUAGACAUGAGGUAUUUUGUGUUUUUGGCUUACCUUCAUUCGAUUUAUUUUAGGUAUGUAAUACGUUGUGUUUUUAACUUGCAGAAUAUUCAUGCUAGACAUGCAUUAUUUUGUGCUUUUAUUUUAACUUCAUUUUAUUUGCCUGGACAUGAGGUAUUUUGUGUUUUUGAAUCACUUUCAUUCUAGCUAUAUAGUAUUUUGUGUUUUUGACUUGCCUUCAGUCUAUUUAUGUUAGACAUGCAGUAUUUUGUGUUUUCAUUUUCCUACAGUCUGUUUAUGUUAGACAUGUAGUAUUUUAUGUUUUUGAGUUGACUUCAUUUGCAGUAUUUUGUGUUUUUGACUCGUCUUUAGUCUAUUUAUUCUAGAGAUGCAGUAUUCUGUGUUUUUGAUUUACCUUCAGUCUAUUUAUAUUAGAUAUGUAGUAUUUCAUGUUUUGGUGUCUCUCCCAGUCUAUUUACGUUGGACAUACAGUAUUUCGUGUUUUUGGCUUACCUUCAGCCUACUUAUGUUAGACGUGGAGUAUUUUUAUGUUUUUGGCUUACUUUCGUACUAUUGUUCCUAGACACGCAGUAUUUUCAGUUUUUGCUUAAUUUUCAGCUACUUAUGCUAGACAUGCAAUAUUUUGUGUUUUGGCUUAUAUUCAAACCAAUUAUGCUGGAAUUUGUAUUUUUGACGUAACUUCAGUCUAUUUAUAUUAGACAUGCAGUAUUUUGUGUUUUUAACUUACCUUCAGUCUAUUGAUGCUGAACGUGUAGUAUUUUGUGUUUUUGUCUUACCUUCAACAUAUUUGUAUUAGACAUGCAGUAUUUUAUGUUUUUGACUUACCCUUUAUUCAUUUAUGUCGGACAUGCAAUAUUUUGUGUUUCUGAGUCACCUUCAGUCUAUUUAUGUUGUAUGUACAGUAUUUUAUAUUUUUGGUUUACCUUCAGCCUAUUUAUGAUGAACAUACAGUAUUUUGUGUAGUAUUUGGUAUGUUUGACUUGCUUUCAGUCUAUUUGUAUUAGACAUACAGUAUUUCGUGUUUUUGACUUACAUUCAGUCUAGUUGGGUUUUUAGCUUACUUUGAGGUUAUUUAUGCUAAAAAUGCUGUAUUUUGUGUUUUUGACUUAUCCUCAGUAUACCUAUGCUAGAGAUAAAGUAUUUUGUGUUUUUGACCUACCUUCAAUCUAUUUAUUCUAGACAAAUAGCUUUUUUGGUUUUCGCUUUUACGGUAUUUAUUUUCUCUAGUUUAAAAUGUGAACCUGUUGCAACUGUGAACUAAUAUUUCUUUAGUUGUGCUAGAGUGCGAAAUUAAACAGAUCAUUUGCCAUGUCUGUCGUGAUUUCAUUAGCUGAGGCCAUAGUACAUAUAAUCAGACUACCUGGUGGUUACUCAAAGCGUCUUAGGUAGUUGUUUUUUAAUGGUUAGUUAAAUCAGAUAAAAUACUGCACAGCUUUAUAUGAAUUAAUAACUCUAAUAAUUUCUUAAAUGAAAUUUAAUACCAGUACAUUUUACUUAAUUAACUGUUUGUUGGUUUUGUAAUUGAAAGAUUCCAUUUAAUUUCACUUUAUGAUCUAGCACAAAUAUCAAUUUAUUCGCGUUGAAAAACAAAAACACAAAAUGUGUAAAAGGUUGUAACUUUCAGAUUAUGAUUCUUUACGAAACUUUCUCAUGCUAGAAACUUCGUUUGAAUUUUAUAUUUUCCCUUGUUUGAUAACAUAAUAGCUGUGACUUAAUGAAAUUUAACUUUUAACUUAGCUAAAAGCCAUUAAUUUAUGUUUUCACAUUAUGAAAAUUCUAUCCAAAAAUUGUAAAGAGGAACAUUCAUUAAUUUUCUAUUUACAUUACUGGUUUCGCACAGAUGACUCAAGAUAAUGAAUAAAGUCAAAUUAAUUUAAAAGGCUGAGAAUAUUGAGACGAAACUUUCAUACAAGUGAUGCAAUUUAUGUAAGUUAAUUUCACGUAACACUCUCAGAAUUGAUAGUGAAAUGCUGAUUAAAUUGGCAAACAUAAUUUUUAUUGUUUAUUACAUAAUCUGUCAAUUACAAAGAUAUCUAAUUAUUGAAAAGAAACUCGUUGUAUGGGCACUAAGCAGUUUAUUUAAUAGUUCUAGUUGGGGUAUCCAAAAAGCUAUGUUUGUUCAAUAAUUUUGUAUAUCAAUGAACUGAAGUUAAUAACUAUUUUUGCUUUCUUUCGUAAGAUUGUUAAUGUUUUGAGCUCAGGGUGAAAUAUUGACUUCCAUAUAUUUAGAAGCAGACAUUCUUUCAAUGAUACAAAACAAAUUUUUUUAUAUGUGGUUGAAUAUCUCUGUCGUAUUGCCAAGUAUUGAUUAGUAGAUUUAAAUGUAUUGAUGCAAUAAAAAUUGUUAUAAACUUUA
rnacentral:lncRNA from 1 species